AUGGGGCUGCCCCAUAAGUUACUGGCCCCCCAUUAUCUAUGGGGCUGCCCCAUAAGUUAUAACCCCCCCCACAUAUCUAUGGGGCUGCCCCACAAGUACCUGACCCCUUUAUCUAUGGGGCAGCCCCACAAGCUCCCGCCCCACAGCGUCACUUACCUGCCUCCUCCCAGUAUCUAUGGGGCAGCCCCCCAAGUUCCCUCUGCCCCACACAUCUAUGGGGCAGCCCCCCCCAAGUUCCCUCUGCCCCACAUAUCUGUGGGGCAGCCCCACACACUGACCCUCCUGGCCCAUAUCUAUGGGGCAGCCCUCCAAUUUCCCACCCCCCCCCAUAAAAUCUAUGGGGCAGCCCCCAAGUUCCCUCUGCCCCACAUAUCUAUGGGGCAGCCCCACACACUGACCCUCCUGCCCCACACAUCUAUGGGGCAGCCCCACACACUGACCCUCCUGCCCCACAUCUAUGGGGCAGCCCCACAUAUCUAUGGGUCAGCCCCACACAUCUAUGGGGCAGCCCCACACCACUGACCUCUCCUGCCCCACAUCUAUGGGUCAGUCCCCACACACUGACCUCCCACCGCCACACAUCUAUGGGGCAGCCCCACACAUCUAUGGGCCAGCCCCAACCAUUACGACCCUCGGCCCAAUAUCUAUGGGUCAAGCCCCCCCCGAAGUUUCCCUCUACCCAACAUCUAUGGGUCAACCCCAC
rnacentral:lncRNA from 1 species